rnacentral:rRNA from 2 species
UUAAUUUGAGAGUUUGAUCCUGGCUCAGGACGAACGCUGGCGGCGUGCCUAAUACAUGCAAGUCGAACGAACUCUGGUAUUGAUUGGUGCUUGCAUCAUGAUUUACAUUUGAGUGAGUGGCGAACUGGUGAGUAACACGUGGGAAACCUGCCCAGAAGCGGGGGAUAACACCUGGAAACAGAUGCUAAUACCGCAUAACAACUUGGACCGCAUGGUCCGAGUUUGAAAGAUGGCUUCGGCUAUCACUUUUGGAUGGUCCCGCGGCGUAUUAGCUAGAUGGUGAGGUAACGGCUCACCAUGGCAAUGAUACGUAGCCGACCUGAGAGGGUAAUCGGCCACAUUGGGACUGAGACACGGCCCAAACUCCUACGGGAGGCAGCAGUAGGGAAUCUUCCACAAUGGACGAAAGUCUGAUGGAGCAACGCCGCGUGAGUGAAGAAGGGUUUCGGCUCGUAAAACUCUGUUGUUAAAGAAGAACAUAUCUGAGAGUAACUGUUCAGGUAUUGACGGUAUUUAACCAGAAAGCCACGGCUAACUACGUGCCAGCAGCCGCGGUAAUACGUAGGUGGCAAGCGUUGUCCGGAUUUAUUGGGCGUAAAGCGAGCGCAGGCGGUUUUUUAAGUCUGAUGUGAAAGCCUUCGGCUCAACCGAAGAAGUGCAUCGGAAACUGGGGAACUUGAGUGCAGAAGAGGACAGUGGAACUCCAUGUGUAGCGGUGAAAUGCGUAGAUAUAUGGAAGAACACCAGUGGCGAAGGCGGCUGUCUGGUCUGUAACUGACGCUGAGGCUCGAAAGUAUGGGUAGCAAACAGGAUUAGAUACCCUGGUAGUCCAUACCGUAAACGAUGAAUGCUAAGUGUUGGAGGGUUUCCGCCCUUCAGUGCUGCAGCUAACGCAUUAAGCAUUCCGCCUGGGGAGUACGGCCGCAAGGCUGAAACUCAAAGGAAUUGACGGGGGCCCGCACAAGCGGUGGAGCAUGUGGUUUAAUUCGAAGCUACGCGAAGAACCUUACCAGGUCUUGACAUACUAUGCAAAUCUAAGAGAUUAGACGUUCCCUUCGGGGACAUGGAUACAGGUGGUGCAUGGUUGUCGUCAGCUCGUGUCGUGAGAUGUUGGGUUAAGUCCCGCAACGAGCGCAACCCUUAUUAUCAGUUGCCAGCAUUAAGUUGGGCACUCUGGUGAGACUGCCGGUGACAAACCGGAGGAAGGUGGGGAUGACGUCAAAUCAUCAUGCCCCUUAUGACCUGGGCUACACACGUGCUACAAUGGAUGGUACAACGAGUUGCGAACUCGCGAGAGUAAGCUAAUCUCUUAAAGCCAUUCUCAGUUCGGAUUGUAGGCUGCAACUCGCCUACAUGAAGUCGGAAUCGCUAGUAAUCGCGGAUCAGCAUGCCGCGGUGAAUACGUUCCCGGGCCUUGUACACACCGCCCGUCACACCAUGAGAGUUUGUAACACCCAAAGUCGGUGGGGUAACCUUUUAGGAACCAGCCGCCUAAGGUGGGACAGAUGAUUAGGGUGAAGUCGUAACAAGGUAGCCGUAGGAGAACCUGCGGCUGGAUCACCUCCUUUCUAAGGAA